rnacentral:ncRNA from 1 species
AACCGAUAAAGGCUACCUUUAACGAAAGUUAAAGGGCGCAAAGCUACAAGACUAAAGUUCCUGAAUUCCAAAAAAGAAGGGACCAUGUCAGUUGGGUUGCCGAA